rnacentral:rRNA from 1 species
CACAUGCAAGUCGAACGGCAGCACGGGUGCUUGCACCUGGUGGCGAGUGGCGAACGGGUGAGUAAUACAUCGGAACAUGUCCUGUAGUGGGGGAUAGCCCGGCGAAAGCCGGAUUAAUACCGCAUACGAUCUACGGAUGAAAGCGGGGGACCUUCGGGCCUCGCGCUAUAGGGUUGGCCGAUGGCUGAUUAGCUAGUUGGUGGGGUAAAGGCCUACCAAGGCGACGAUCAGUAGCUGGUCUGAGAGGACGACCAGCCACACUGGGACUGAGACACGGCCCAGACUCCUACGGGAGGCAGCAGUGGGGAAUUUUGGACAAUGGGCGAAAGCCUGAUCCAGCAAUGCCGCGUGUGUGAAGAAGGCCUUCGGGUUGUAAAGCACUUUUGUCCGGAAAGAAAUCCUUGGUUCUAAUAUAGCCGGGGGAUGACGGUACCGGAAGAAUAAGCACCGGCUAACUACGUGCCAGCAGCCGCGGUAAUACGUAGGGUGCGAGCGUUAAUCGGAAUUACUGGGCGUAAAGCGUGCGCAGGCGGUUUGCUAAGACCGAUGUGAAAUCCCCGGGCUCAACCUGGGAACUGCAUUGGUGACUGGCAGGCUAGAGUAUGGCAGAGGGGGGUAGAAUUCCACGUGUAGCAGUGAAAUGCGUAGAGAUGUGGAGGAAUACCGAUGGC